UACGUAGGUCCCGAGCGUUGUCCGGAUUUAUUGGGCGUAAAGCGGGCGCAGGUGGUUUAUUAAGUCUGGUGUAAAAGGCAGUGGCUCAACCAUUGUAUGCAUUGGAAACUGGUAGACUUGAGUGCAGGAGAGGAGAGUAGAAUUCCAUGUGUAGCGGUGAAAUGCGUAGAUAUAUGGAGGAACACCGGUGGCGAAAGCGGCUCUCUGGCCUGUAACUGACACUGAGGCUCGAAAGCGUGGGGAGCAAACAGG
rnacentral:rRNA from 1 species